rnacentral:piRNA from 1 species
CAAAUGAACCCCUGCUGAUGGA